GAGUUUGAUCGUGGCUCAGAAUGAACGCUGGCGGCGUGGUUAAGACAUGCAAGUCGAACGGGUUUUCAGGUGUAGCAAUACAUUUGAAAGCCAGUGGCGAACGGGUGCGUAACACGUGAACAAUCUACCUCCAAGUGGGGAAUAGCUCGCCGAAAGGCGAAUUAAUACCGCAUAUGGUUGAGGCUCUCCUGAGUUUCAUACCAAAGUCGGGGACCGCAAGGCCCGACGCUAGGAGAGGAGUUCGCGGCCUAUCAGCUAGUUGGUGAGGUAACGGCCCACCAAGGCUAAGACGGGUAGCCGGUCUGAGAGGAUGAUCGGCCACACUGGAACUGAGACACGGUCCAGACACCCACGGGUGGCAGCAGUUUCGAAUCAUUCACAAUGGGCGAAAGCCUGAUGGUGCGACGCCGCGUGAGGGAUGAAGGUCUUCGGAUUGUAAACCUCUGUCACUGGGGAAGAAACGCUGAAUCCUAAUACGAUUCAGCCUGACUUAACCCGGAGAGGAAGCAGUGGCUAACU
rnacentral:rRNA from 1 species